rnacentral:rRNA from 1 species
AUUGAACGCUGGCGGCAGGCCUAACACAUGCAAGUCGAACGGUAACAGGAAGCAGCUUGCUGCUUUGCUGACGAGUGGUGGACGGGUGAGUAAUGUCUGGGAAACUGCCUGAUGGAGGGGGAUAACUACUGGAAACGGUAGCUAAUACCGCAUAACGUCGCAAGACCAAAGAGGGGGACCUUCGGGCCUCUUGCCAUCGGAUGUGCCCAGAUGGGAUUAGCUAGUAGGUGGGGUAAAGGCUCACCUAGGCGACGACCCCUAGCUGGUCUGAGAGGAUGACCAGCCACACUGGAACUGAGACACGGUCCAGACUCCUACGGGAGGCAGCAGUGGGGAAUAUUGCACAAUGGGCGCAAGCCUGAUGCAGCCAUGCCGCGUGUAUGAAGAAGGCCUUCGGGUUGUAAAGUACUUUCAGCGGGGAGGAAGGGAGUAAAGUUAAUACCUUUGCUCAUUGACGUUACCCGCAGAAGAAGCACCGGCUAACUCCGUG